AUUGAACGCUGGGCAGGCCUAACACAUGCAAGUCGAACGAGUGGCGGACGGGUGAGUAAUGUCUGGGAAACUGCCUGAUGGAGGGGGAUAACUACUGGAAACGGUAGCUAAUACCGCAUACCAUCAGAUGUGCCCAGAUGGGAUUAGCUUGUUGGUGGGGUAACGGCUUACCAAGGCGACGAUCCCUAGCUGGUCUGUGAGGAUGACCAGCCACGCUGGAACUGAGAAACGGUCCAGACUCCUACGGGAGGCAGCAGUGGGAAAUAUUGCACAAUGGGCGAAAGCUGAAUGCAGCCAUGCCGCGUGUAUGAAGAAGGCCUUAGGGUUGUAAAGUACUUUCAGCGGGGAGGCGUUACCCGCAGAAGAAGCACCGGCUAACUCCGUGCCAGCAGCCGCGGUAAUAC
rnacentral:rRNA from 1 species